rnacentral:rRNA from 1 species
AUUGAACGCUGGCGGCAGGCCUAACACAUGCAAGUCGAACGAGUGGCGGACGGGUGAGUAAUUUCUGGGAAACUGCCCGAUGGAGGGGGCUAACUACUGGAAAAGGUAGCUAAUACCGCAUACCAUCGGAUUGGCCGUGAUGGGAUUAGCUAGUAGGUGGGGUAACGGCUCACCUAGGCGACGCUCCCUAGCUGGUCUGAGAGGAUGACCAGCCACACUGGAACUGAGAAACGGUCCAGACUCCUACGGGAGGCAGCAGGGGGGAAUAUUGCACAAUGGGCGAAAGCCUGAUGCAGCCAUGCCGCGUGUAUGAAGAAGGCCUUCGGGUUGUAAAGUACUUUCAGCGGGGAGGCGUUACCCGAAGAAGAAGCACCGGCUAACUCCGUGCCAGCAGCCGCGGUAAUAC